AUGGUUUUGGUGUUAAAUAAAAAAAAAAAAAAAAAAUAACUGUUCUUAUCUAGUUUAAUAUCUGAUACGUCCCUACCCGGGACUACAUAUUAAAUUGUAUUUUGGUAUCACGGAGCUGGAGGCCGGGGCUUGCUCUGUCCACUCCACGCAUCGGCCUGGUAUUGCAGUGUCUCCAGGAGCGGUGUGCUUCCC
rnacentral:snRNA from 1 species